rnacentral:rRNA from 1 species
UCCAGACUCCUACGGGAGGCAGCAGUAGGGAAUUUUGCGCAAUGGGCGAAAGCCUGACGCAGCAACGCCGCGUGAUCGAGACGCCCUUCGGGGUGUAAAGAUCUGUCAGUGGGGACGAAACUUGACGGUACCCACAGAGGAAGCACCGGCUAACUCCGUGCCAGCAGCCGCGGUAAUACGGGGGGUGCAAGCGUUGUCCGGAAUCAUUGGGCGUAAAGGGUGCGUAGGUGGUUUCUUAAGUCAGAGGUGAAAGGCUACGGCUCAACCGUAGUAAGCCUUUGAAACUGGGAAACUUGAGUGCAGGAGAGGAGAGUGGAAUUCCUAGUGUAGCGGUGAAAUGCGUAGAUAUUAGGAGGAACGCCAGUUGCGAAGGCGGCUCUCUGGACUGUAACUGACACUGAGGCACGAAAGCGUGGGGAGCAAACAGGAUUAGAUACCCUAGUA